AUGGCGACCGCGGGCGAGAACUCGGCCGCCGAGCUGCUGCUCCGCGCGGCGGCGCUGGUGCCGCUCGACCGCUACGCGCUCGCCGCCCUCGUCCUCGCCGCCGCCUUCCUCUACCGCUUCCUCGAGCUCCACGUCCUCGGCGACCUGCUCCGCGGCCUCCGCGGCGGCCGCGUCGCCCUCACCUUCCACCCGGACUCCCAGGUCUACCACCGCGUCGCCUCCAAGUGCCGCUCCCUCCACGGCAGGUACCUGGCGACGCCGUGGCUGGCGAGCCCUCAUCUGCAGACGCUGUUCCUGGGCAUCUGGGGAAGGCCGCCUUCGGUCACGUAUAGAAGGCAGCUGUACACAGUUCGUGAUGGUGGAACCAUUGCUUUGGAUUGGCUACUAGCCUCUGACUGGGAAGCUGCAGAUGGUAGUUCUUGUGAUGGAACUAUUUCUAGUGAUGAUUCAACACCCAUUGUUGUUGUGGUGCCUGGAUUAACUAGUGAUUCUACUGCCGCUUAUGUGAAACACUUGGUCUUUUCUAUGGCGAGCAAUGGAUGGAAUGUUGUUGUAGGCAAUCACAGGGGUCUGGGCGGCAUCUCCAUAACAUCCGAUUGCUUUUACAAUGGCGGAUGGACAGAAGAUAUUCGUGAAGUUGUUAAUUACCUUCAUCAAAAGUACCCAGAGGCUCCACUAUUCACUGUUGGGACAAGCUUAGGCGCCAAUAUUCUGGUCAAGUAUCUGGGAGAAGAGGGUGAAAGUAUUCCUAUAGCUGGUGCUGCAUCUAUUUGUUCACCCUGGGAUCUUCUGGUGACUAGCAGAUUUAUUUCUCGCAAGCUAGUGCAGCGUUGUUACGAUAAAGCUCUUGCAAUUGGUCUCAAAGGAUAUGCAAAACUACAUCAACCAGUCUUGGCACGACUUGCAAACUGGGAAGCUAUUACGUCGUCACGCUCUACCAGGGAAUUUGACCAUCAUGCAACUUGUGUUGUUGCAAAGUACGAGACAGUGGACACAUUCUACCGCAAGUGCAGCUGUGCAAACUAUAUUGGUAAUGUGUCUGUUCCGUUGCUUUGUAUCAGUGCUUUAGAUGACCCCCUUUGCACAAGGGAGGCCAUUCCCUGGGAUGAAUGCAGGGCAAAUAAGAAUAUUGUUUUGGCAACUACACCUAAUGGUGGCCAUCUUGGUUUUUUUCAAGGCCUAACUGCUGGAAGACUAUGGUGGGUGGAACCUGUCUCCGAGUUUUUCUCUGCUCUACAUGAUAGUCCUUGCAUGCAUCGACAGAAGCUCAAUAAUAUUUGCAUGCAGACUCAAGAGCAUGGAUUGCAAUCUCCGCUGGAAUCAUCCAUCGAUAAGGGACCGUAUGUUAAUCUCAUGGAAGAUGGAAUGGUAGCUGCAGUGACAAACGAGGAUACCAACACUCACGAAUCCUUGGAUAAGCAUAAUCAGGCUGUCAGUGAAAUGGAAGGCAGUGAUGUUAAUGUACAACAGAAUGGGAUCACCAGUGUGUUACAGGAUGAGAGUCACAGUGCGGUGAAGAACACAAGCGGCACAGAGGAUAAUGUACCGUCUGCCCAAGGCCCUGUAGGGUCACAAGAGCAGAGAGAAGAGCUCUCCACAGAUAAAAUCCGAGAUGCCAUCGCCCCCGUUAAGAAAUCCAUUAACCAGCUCAUUCGAUCCCAGGGGAGGUCGGUCUGGUGGCUGGCGUACAUUGCUGUGGUAACAUCUUGGCCCUUGCUCGGUGCCAUAGGUUUUUUCUUGUAUAGGAAGAAGUUCAGGAAUUCUUCGCCAGCCAAGCGGUUGUUAAGAGGCUAA
rnacentral:rRNA from 1 species